rnacentral:rRNA from 1 species
AUUGAACGCUGGCGGCAGGCCUAACACAUGCAAGUCGAACGAGUGGCGGACGGGUGAGUACUGUCUGGGAAACUGCCUGAUGGAGGGGGAUAACUACUGGAAACGGUAGCUAAUACCGCAUACCAUCGGAUGUGCCCAGAUGGGCUUAGCUAGUAGGUGGGGUAAAGGCUCACCUAGGCGACGAUCCCUAGCUGGUCUGAGAGGAUGACCGACCACACUGGAACUGAGACACUGUCCAGACUCCUACGGGAGGCAGCAGUGGGGAAUAUUGCACAAUGGGCGCAAGCCUGAUGCAGCCAUGGCGCGUGUAUGAAGAAGGCCUUCGGGUUGUAAAGUGCUUUCAUCGUGGAGGCUUUACCCGCAGAAGAAGCACCGGCUAUCGCCGUGCCAGCAGCCGCGGUAAUUC